rnacentral:lncRNA from 1 species
GCCGGUACAAAAAAAUUUAACUCUAAAGAAUGUUACAAACAUGACACAGGUUCAGCUUGGAUGAUCCUUUCACGUGCAUUUGUGGAAUACUGCAUAUGGGGAUGGGACAAUAUCCCUAGGAACCUACUUCUACACUACUCAAAUUUUGUGUCCUCUCCAGAAGGCUACUUUCAGACUGUUGUAUGCAAUGCACCAGAGUUCACUUCAACUGUUAUUAACCAUGACAUACACUAUAUUCCUGGGAUGUUCCUCCAAAACAGCAUCCACACAUUCUAUCCCUUAAUGACACUGCAAACAUGAUUGCAAGUUGUGUCGCAUUUGUGCAUAAGUUCAAGCAAGAUGAUCCUGUUUUAGACAAGAUUGAUAUGGAAUUACUGAGUAAUGGUAGCUUCACACCUGGUGGUUGGUGUGCUGGAAAUCCUCCUUGUUCUAAAGUUGGAAAUCCAACAAAACUUAGGCCAGGUCCAGGGGCUCAAAGGCUUCGACGUCUUAUUGGUAAACUAGUGUUGUCCGCUAAAUUUAGUCAAAACCAGUAUAAUUAGAUCUUUGUUGUAUUUGCAUCCCUGCUUGCUCAUCCACAAAAGGAGGCCUAAGAAUGUAACGUUAAAAGAGCCAGACAAAAAUAUAGCCACUGAAAUUGACCAUUUGCCGAAUCAACAGGCCAGCAGAUAAGUAUAACACUGUAACCUGUUAAAGCCAUGAUAGGUGUAUGAGUCCACCAAAUACAAUAGGACCUGGUCCCUAAACUAUAAGUGCAGUGAAAAUAAAUGAAGAAGAGAUAGUGCAAUAAUGUAAAGAACAUUGAAAGUUUACUUGGAAAUUUCCUUGCUCAACGAAAGUAAAAACCACGACCCGCCAUCAGAAUUUUCAAACUUCACUCUUCUUCAAGCUACUAAGUGAUUACCAACUCCUAUAAUCACUAACUCUUGUACUACCUCUAUCACAAGACAAGUGUGAUAACUCUAACACACUUACAACUGACUAACUCUAGUCAUACAUCCUAGGCAACUUUACCCAGGACUCAACACAAGAAUGAGACAAAUAAAAACUUGAUCAACUUACAAACAACUCGAACAACCAACUCUAGUUGCUUCGACUCGAGCUAAGAUUUGGACAAGCUACACAUCUACUAUCCUUUAUAAUUAGGAGUAGAAUUAUAACAUACGACCAAAAGAACCAAUAAUACAACACACACAAGACUUAAGAUGAGCAUAUUAGGCCCAAUAAAGACACAGGCCCAGCUUAGAGAAUGGCCCACGUUGACAUACCCGAACCCAAGUUCACAUCUCAGAUACUUUUUCAAUAGCAGUUAAUAAAAAUGUAUGAUAGCUGUAUGUAAUGAACAUUCAAGAAACACUUUUUCAUCUUUUCUCUUUCUUCGUCUCAUGUUCAAAAAGCUUGAUAAGAGAAAUCAAUGGUGAUUGCGAUUUGUGCAGGUUAAAAUGGUAUCAAAGCCAGUGUAAUCGAUACCUUAACUCCUCAGCUUCCUUCCGAUGGUACCCUCGUCCAUAACCAUGGAGUUACCCACCUGGCCUCGUAAAUGCGAUUGGGAUUCAUCCAGCUCCGUUCACGGCAUAAUCUUCGAUUUUUCAUUCCACGACUUUACUCCUUCAGGUUCUAGAAAAAGACCAGUAAAUUCGUCUCUAUUUAACUGAAAUAGAUUGGGGUGACUUAUUAAUCUAGGGUUUCUGUUCUUCAUUUUUGUACAAAUUAUCGUUUUUUGUGUGGCUUGACUGUGGUACAUCAGUUUUACCUGAUUCCGGCAUUCUAUUCAUCAUUGUAGAAACUUUGAUUCAGUUGUAGUUAUGACUUCAGAUUCCUCAGAGGGAUUUACCCCCUUUUUACUAGACCCCUCUCAUCCCUUUUAUGCCUACCCUUCUGAUAACCCUGGGAGUCAGAUUGUGGCCAUGCCAUUUUCUGGUAGUGGUUUUAUCGUCUGGAGAAGCACUAUGCUGACUUCUCUCUCAGCUAAGAACAAAUUAAGCAUCUUAGAUUGUAGAACCCCAACUCCCGCCACUAGUUCACCCUAUUUUCCUUACUGGGAACGGUGUAACGAUAUGACUAAGGCAUGGAUUCUCAACUCUGUCUCUCGUGACAUUGCUAUUAGUGUCAUGUGCCUCAAAACUGCGAAAGAAAUAUGGGAAGAUUUGAAUACUCAAUUUGGUCAGUCCAAAGGUUCCUCUACUGUUCAGAAGGAAAUCAACUCUACUGUUCAAGGUUCCUCCAGCAUUGCCACCUAUUAUACAAAAUUUAGAAGUCUUUGGGAUGAAUUACAUUGUGCUUAUGUUGGUCCCACAUGUACAUGCGGUGCUUUACCUAAAUUUAUAGAGGACCAGCAACUUUUUCAAUUCCUGAAUGGAUUGAAUGACUCAUUUUCCACCAUCAAAAGUACUAUAUUGAUGAUGUCCCCUCUUCCAUCAGUCAAUAAAGUCUAUUCCCUUUUAUCUGAGCCAAAGGGAAAAUCACUCCUCUACCCCUACUUUUUCUGGUGAUUCAGCUGUUUUCUCAACUUCAUCUAGUAAUCACAGGAGUUCAGCUCCAUACAAUUCUAACACAUAGGGGUUUCUCUCUAACAAAUAGAGGUGGUGGUUAUUCCCAGAAUGGCAGGGGUUAUCCCUAAAAAGUUAAUUUUGAUCCUAUUCCAAAGAAACCCAAACCUUCUCUCUUUUGCACCUAUUGCAGAAGACCUAGACAUUCUGUGGAAAAGUGUCAUAGGUUGUAUAGGUUCCCUCCGGAUUUCAAGUUCACCCAAAACAAAAACACUGCUACUUAUGUCUAACCUAACACAUUGCCCUCUGAAACCAUUGCAUUUGUUCCUUCAUCCCCUGUUCAUCCUGUUGAUGUGUAUACUUAUGGCUUCAGUAAGGAACAAUAUCAACAUCUACAGUCGUUGUUUACUCAACAGCUAUCACUAUCACCUGCUUACUCUGGUCAUAGUCCCAGUUCUGAUGAUUACACUUCAGAUUCUGCUGGAUUUGCCCACUUUGCAAGUUUGUUUACCACCUAUGCUGCAAAUUCAUUGAGUCGUCAUAAUUCUGUUCAUAUACAUGUAGGUAUUCAACCUUGGAUAUUAGAUUCAGGAGCCACACAUCAUAUGACUCCACACAAACACCUAUUGCACCAUAUCUCUCCUUUACCUAAACCUUUCCUUGUAACCUUACCAAAUGGAUACAAAGUGAAAGUGUUUUCCACUGGUUCCCUCACUUUGAGACCUGAUAUUAUUCUUACUCAUGUUCUUUUAGUUCCAGCAUUUCAUUUUAAUCUCAUCUCUAUUCAUCAAUUAAUUUCUCAACUGGAUUGUCAUGCAUUAUUACCAAAACUCAUUGUUUCCUACAGGGCCCUUCACUGAAAAGGCCUCUGGAAAUUGGUAGAGUUGUUGGCAGACUAUUCUACCUUCAUCUAGAUGCUGAUCUCUUCUCCAAGACCCCAAUUGGAUCCAACAACAACUUAUUUUCACUUUUUGAAUCUAGCUCUUUUGUUUCUUCAGAUACUAGUUGUUCCUCUAUUCCCACAUGUAUUAAAUCUGAUAUUGUUAAUAAGAUGGAUUUUUUUUUGCACCAAAGGUUGGGCCACAUGCCUUUUCAUAAGUUGCAUUCAAUUCCUUUGUUGUCUAAUAAGAUUUCCAAUAAACAAUCUUUUAUAUGCUCCAUUUGUCCUAUGGCUAGGCAACAAAGAUCCUCAUUCCCUAAAUCUAUUAUUCAUUCUACUGUACCUUUCCAGUUAGUCCACAUUGACAUUUGGGGCCCGUAUAAUACUCAAACUUAUAAUGGGUUCACGUAUUUUAUAACCCUUGUAGAUGAUUACACAAGAGUAACCUGCACACAUCUUCUUUCCUGCAAAAGCAACGCCUUACCCAUUCUCAAGGCUUUCACUGCUAUGGUCAAGACAAAGUUUCAUACUUCUGUUCAGACUUUUACGCCUGACAAUGCUUUUGAACUAGGCAGUAGUGCUGCAACCUCUUCAUUUUUUACAGAACAUGGGAUUCUUCACCAGACAACCAUUUCACACACUCCUCAACAAAAUGCAAUAGUGGAAAGAAAACACAAACACCUUCUAGAGGUUGCUAGAGCUCUUCUAUUCCAAUCAUAUCUUCCUCUCAAAUAUUGGGGUGAUUGCAUUCUUACUGCAACAUAUCUCAUCAAUCGAAUGCCCUCUACUUUCUUGUCCAAUCUUUCCCUUUAUGAGAAGUUUCCAUGGCAUUGCACCUUCAUAUGAUCACCUCAAAUCUUUUGGGUAUCUUUGUUUUGCUACCUCCCCUAGGUUUGGUAGGGACAAAUUUCAAUCUAGAUCAAUUUCUUGUGUUUUCCUUGGAUACCCUUGUGGUAAGAAAGGUUACAAGCUUCUUUCCCUCUCUAACUUCUCCAUUUUCUUUUCUAGGGAUGUUACCUUUCAUGAACAUGUCUUUCCUUAUGCUUCCCCUGCUCCCAGUUGUUUUCCUUCCCCUACUUCCCCUUUUAUAGAUUUACCUCCUCCCACCAUUCCUCUAGAACCUAUUGUUCCUUCUUCUACAAUUCUUUCUGCUCCCCAGUAGCUCUUAAAAAGUCUUCUAGAACUACACAUACACCAGCUUACCUUUCUGAUAAUGUGUGCUCUUCUAUCUCCUCUUCUAAGUUACCUCCUGUUAUGCAUCAGUUGCAUGAGCCUCUAUAUUACCAACAGGCAGUCUCUCAUCCUGCUUGGCAGGAGACCAUGCAAAAGGAAUUUACUGCUCUUGCUGCCAAUCACUCUUGGGACAUAAUCCCUCUCCCUCCACACAAGAAAGCCAUACCUUGUAAAUGGGUCUAUAAGAUCAAGUACAAGGUUGAUGGCACUGUGGAUAGGUAUAAAGCUCGACUGGUUAUUAGAGGUGACACUCAAAAAGAGGGUAUUGACUUUACUGAAACCUUCUCUCCAGUUGUCAAUCUCACAACUAUGAAAUGUCUAUUAACCCUUGCGGUAAAGAAGGGUUAGACUGUGUUAUAAUUAGAUAUAAACAAUGAUUUUCUACAUGGUGACCUAAAUGAAGAGGUUUAUAUGAAAAUAGCCCUUGGACUUGAUGUUAACAGUUCUGUCAGUACUUCUUCAGCUCUUUUGGUUUGCCGAUUGAGAAAGUCCCUUUAUGGCCUUAGGCAAUGGCUUUCUAAGUUGUAUGAAGCCUUGCUCUCCAAAGGCUACAUUUCUAGUAGAAAUGAUUACUCUCUUUUCACCAAGUCUGUGGCUGGUUCCCUUAUUAUUCUUGUGGUCUAUGUGGAUAACAUACUGUUGGUUGGUGAUAAUAUUGCUGAACUGCAGUCCCUUAAAUCUUAUUUGGACUGUCAGUUCAAGAUCAAAGACUUGGGUUCCAUUCAUUAUUUCUUAGGUCUUGAAAUAUUUUCUCACACUUAAGGUUACAUUGUGAACCAACACAAGUUUGCUACUGAUCUCUUGAUUGAAUACUCUGUUGAUCAUUUUUCUCCAGUAGUUACUCCCUUGGAUUCUUCUGUUAAGCUCACUAGGCUUUGCCUGAUCCUAGUUGUUAUCGAAGACUUAUUGGUAAGCUCAAUUUCUUACAGCAUACUCGCCCAGAUAUAGCUUUUGUAGUAUAACACUUGAGCCAGUUCCUCCAACUUCCUCGCAUCCCUCAUAUGCUUACUAGUAUUCAUGUGCUAAGAUAUCUCCUUAAUGACCCUGGUCAGGGUAUCUUGCUCUCUAAGGAGCCUAAUUUUACAUUAUGUGCUUAUUCUGACUCCGAUUGGGCUGCGCAUCUUCCAGGAAGUCGAUUUCAGGUUUUUUUAUUACUCUUGGUGGUUGUCCCAUCUCUUGGAAGAGCAAAAAGCAGCCCACUAUUUCCUUGUCCUCAGCUGAGGAAGAAUAUCGUGCCCUACGUAAAGUGGUGGCUGAGAUUGCUUGGCUGGUCUGCCUACUUAGUGAUCUUGGAUUACAUAUUUUUAACCAUGUUCCUCUUCAUUGUGACAGCCAAGCUGCUCUUCACAUUGCUAAGAACCCCGUCUUCCAUGAACGCACCAAGCACAUCGAUGUUGAUUGCCAUUAUGUUCGCGAUUGCUAGGUUGCUGGACUGAUCUCCCUCCAUUACAUUCCCAGCUCACAGCAACUUGCUGACAUUAUGACAAAGCCCAUUAUUAGAUGUCUUCAUCAGCAAUUCCUUUCCAAGAUUGGUGUUUGCUCACCCUCAAGCUUGAAGAGGGUGUUAGUCCUAAUAAAGACACAAGCCCAGCUUAAAGAAUAGCCCACGUUAAUAUACCUGGACCUAAGUUCACAUCUCAGAUAUUUUUUCAAUAGAAGUUAAUAAAAAUGUAUGACAGUUUUAUGUAAUGAACAUUCGAGAAACACUUUUUCAUCUUUUCUCUUUCUUCGUCUCAUGUUAAGAAAGCUUGAUAAGAGAAAUCAAUAGUGAUUGCGAUUUGUACAGGUUAACAGAGCAAGCAAGCAAUCAGGUCCCUUGUAUGAGUUGUGUUCAAGAACGGUUUUUGCUUCUUCAAAGUUCAAUUUUGUUGUUUGGAAAAACUAGGUUUUGUUGUAAUUAGACAAUUUUUUUAUAUGAGACAACAAAACCUAGGCGUCUUGCUAUAAGUCGAGGUUUAACUCCUCUACUGCCACGCCACCAACUUUCUGCAAAAAAGUACAACUUUUAGUUGUAGUCAAGCAAGUCAUUGUCAAUGGACAACUUCAGACGAGACCAGGUCCUAUAGAUACAUAAUAAGUCGUCCAUCAGGUCCUUUGUGGAAUAGUUUGCAGAUCAUCAAAACUUCAAAGGAGUAAUAUUUUCCCCUUUUUUUAUGAUGACAAACUAUUCCUCAUAUCACUAAGGACCGUUUACAUAUAUUCCCCCUGUCACCAUGCUCAUUUAGUUAUUCCCCCUAUCAGUGGCAUGAGGUCCCUCUACAAUCAAGACAUAUCAAUUUUUCCCUUUUAACAUCAAUAAAAAAAAUAAACAGUAAACCAAGAUAAUGAAGAUGCAGACAAGUUAACACGCAUGGGAAUUGAGGCUACACUGAUAUGAGCAAACAAAAGGGACCUAAGGCAUGUAGUAGACAAAACAAGAGAAGAUACUUCAUUAAAAGAAAGAUAAUACCAGUUACAUUAUAGAUAUUAAAACAUUAAAACAACCAAAAAGUGACAUGAAAGACAGAGACAUGGGGAUCAAUAGCAAGAGGACAGGAAAAAACGGGGCUUAGUAGGAGCUGAUCCUAAGUAGAAGGAGGGUUGGGGCUAGAGACUUAAGAAGUAAAUUCAUGUGAGCACUCUCUGCAGUAUGAGUAGUUAACAGCUGUUUGGUAAGAUCUUUGACCUCCGCUUGAAGACCUAAAACCUCAUCAAUAAGUCCAGUGACUUGGGCCUUUAACAUUUUUUGCCUUCAGUCCAGUAGAGGCACCACCAGGUUCCUCAGACAUCAGUUGUUGCAUCCUAGCCUUCAGCUGAGAGAUUUCAACAUCAUGUGUGGCCACUGCCACACUCAUCUCAUCCAAUUCCCCACUCAUGUGUCCUUGAACAUCCAAUAGCUCAGACACUUGGGACUUGGUCCCAACCUUCCUUUCCGCAAACUCAUUCUCAAUUAACAUGGUCAUAGUGAACAUUUGUUGGCGGUCCCUCUAACUACUUCCAUACAAUUGAUUUUGAAAUGCUUGAACAAUCUAUGAGGAACUACCCAUAGAAAAGUCCAUCUUUUCCAUCCUUAACAUGCAACACCUUAUGCAGGUGCUCAAGGAUCAGAGCAGAUAGGUUGAUCAUCUCAAACUUGCUAAGAGUUUCCAUGAGAAAAAGGUCUAUUGCAGAGGCAACUAUACGUAUCUCUCAAUAGGGCAGCAGCACCUUGUUUUCAAAAAAGAACCUGAAAUUCUCCUCUUAAAAAUUUCUUUCUAACUCCAACUCUAAAAUCUCCACUAACCUUAGAAGCAGACUUAAUAAAAAGAAGAGAGGGACGCUUAGUUCAAACUGACCUAAUCCCAUUUAUAGUCACACCAAGGAUUUGUCAAAUAUCUUAACUUCAUGCACCAUCCCAGUAAAACUUGAUGCAUUUUCUUCAAAUUCCAAAGUGAAGAAGAAAUCCUUGACUUCAUCUUAUAGACCAUGGAUGCACGAGUCUCAAAGAGGUGCAGCUAUUCUUGGUAUUCCAUAUACUAAAUAAGCUCACUCAUCCCUGUUUCAUUAUGAAAACUGGAGUUGAAGACCCUCCCAGUCAGCACCUUUUGGGAUUUGAGGAUCAAGUUUUUCUUCUCUUUAGUGAGACUAGAAACAACCUCUUAAAUUUUUCUUCUUUUAGAGAAGGAACCUGGUCCCUCAACCAUCUGACCAGUCUCCUUAGGUUUAUGUGUUUCUUCCUCAUUACCAGGUCCUUUGAUAACUUUCACCCUUUUUCUCUUGACUGAAGUAUGUUUUUUUUCUUACUAGCACCCUUUGACUUGGGUACUGCAGGGUUAUUAGGCAUUGAAACUCCCACUUCCUUACCCUUUUUACAAGAAGAAAUCACAAUAUCAUCAUCAGUUUUCAUUUUCUCAUUCUUAUCUUUCUCCUCCACAUCAACCACCUUCUCAGGAGGCAAAAUAGGUUUGCCACUUGCAGCCUUUCUUUUUGCAUUUUGCUUCCUAGUAGUGGCCCACUUACUUACCUUCAAUGCAUCACUCAUUACCUUUUUCUCAGCCCCUCAAGUACUGUAAAAUCGAUGAACAAGUCUUUCAAAAACUUGUUUCUUUCCUGAAUAUCCUCUUCUCCCUACUCUAUUCCGGGAGAAAUUGGCAAAGUCAUCCUCCUCCUAAUUAACCUCCAUAGGAGGAUAAAUAAUUUUUUUCCACCCCUAUAGCCAAGGAGGUACCAUCAUAUUUAGGAUUAGGGGACUUCAGAGGUUAAUUAGUAGAGAGAGGGGAAAAUAAUAGAGAACCUGACGCCAGUCUUUUCAAACUAUCAACUACCCAAUCUGCUCCAGCCUCAACACAAGCAAAUCUUCUUCAACUAAAUUUUCUUCCCCCCUAGAGGAACUGUAAGGGGAACUGGUCCCUUGGAUAGUUCAGGUGUGAUGCUCGACUCAGGAGAAAGACAGGAUGAGGCGCUCUCAGGAAAGACAAUAGAGAGUGAUGUAGACAUAGAUUUUGGAUUAGGAAAGGUUACUUCAACGGUUUCUGGGUCCACACUCGGCGAAGAAAUUUGUGUGCCUAGUACUAGUACUUCUUUACUAAUAGGUGACCCAAAGGGUCCUUCAGUGCGCGAAGAUGGUAAAGGAUUUUCAUUAGAAAAAGGACUUUCAAAGGACGGUGAGAGAGUUAUAAAGAUUGUUCAACAAGGGAAAAAUUGUCCUCUGGGGAUGUUUUAACUGGAAAGGGAGGAAGCAAUAUUUUUUAUUGUGAAUAAGGGUUUUAAACUAGAAAAAAAUGGAGAAGAAGGUUGUUGUUAUGAACUAGAGUUCUACAAAAGUAUUUUGUGAGUUAGUAUUUUAGUGAAGGUGAAAUAGGUGGAAGAAAGGUAUUUAAUGGAGUUUACGAGAGGUGACUCUUGGACUUAAAGUGAAGUGACGUGCCUGGUCCCUAUUGGUCAUACCGCUUCACUUGAGAAAAUGAUGUGACAACGGUCUAAAGAGAGAGAGACAUGAAGGGUCACAUGAAACUUUUAAACAGUUAUUUUAACAUUUUAAAAACAUACAAUAUAUAGGUACUGACCUUGUAGUAUGGACUAGGUCCCUACUUUAGAAGUUUCUCCACUUCUUAAAUCUGACCCACUUCUCCUUUUAGUCUGACUAAUUCACCAUGGGUGUAUACCUGCAGAAGGUAUGAGACUGAAUUAAACUUGUCCACAACUCACACUCGAACACUCGAAUACCUGUCUUUAAAUAUUAACCAUUGUAGUGAAAAGAAAUAAAAGUGAUUGUACAGAAACUCAAUUUAUUUUCAUUAAACCAAGUUUGAGUUUGUUCUUCUCAAACUGAUCUCUAUGCAAUGCCUUGGCAAAGAUAUCAGCCACUUGGUCCUCAGAUUUGCAGAACAUCACACAAAUUAUUCCUUUCUCAACAUUGUCUCUCAAAAGUGAUGUCUCACAUUAAUGUGCUUGGUUUUCUUGUGUUGGACUGAAAUUUUUUGCCAUGUUAAGAGCAAUGGUGUUAUCAUAGAGCAAGGGAAUGGAAUCUAUGACAAUACCAAAAUCUUUAAGUUGUUUCUUGAUCCACAAAAGCUGAGCACAUCAUGAGGCAGCGGCGACUUAUUCAACUUCAGCUGUAAAUAGAGCCACAGUUCUAUUUUUAGCUUCCCCAAGAUAUUAGAAUGGAUCCUAGAAAAUGAUCCAUUCCUAAAGUGUUUUUUUCUAUACACCAAGUACCCUACAUAAUCUGGAUCAGCAUAACCAGUUAGAUUAAAAGAGUCAUCUGAAAGGUAGUAUAGGACCAGGUCCCCUAUACCCUUUAGGUACCUUAAAAUUCUCUUAGCUGCCUUCAAGUAAGACUCUUUUGGACAAGCAUUGAACCUUGCACAUAUUCCAACACUAAACAUAAUAUCAGGUCUUCUUGUUGUCAAGUAUAGAAGAGAUCCAAUGAUUCCUCUAUACAUUGUUUCAGCCACCUAGGGCCUAAUUCAUCAGUAUCUAGCUUACAGUUGGUUCCUAUAAGAGUAUCAAUGGGCUUGGCAUCAUUCAUCUAAAAUCUACUCAGUAGUUCCUUGAUGUACUUUUCUUAGCGGAUCAUAGUCCAUGUAUAAGUAUGUUUGAUCUGCAGUCCCAAGAAGAAAUUGAGCCCUCUCAUCAUACUCAUCUUAAAUUCACUUCUCAUAAGCUUGGCAAAGUCUUUAUACAGAGUGUAUAAAGUUGCUCCAAAAAUAAUAUCAUCCACAUAUACUUGAACUAUCAGCAAUUGUUCCUUAUGACUUCAAGAAGAAGGUGUUAUCACUUCUCCCUCUCUUGAACCCAUUCUCAAGAAGAAACUUGGAGAGCUUUUCAUACCAAGCUUUAAGAGCUUACUUUAAGCCAUAUUGAUCCUUGUCAAGUUGCAUAACAUGAUUGGGGUUAUCAAUAUCCUCAAACCUUGGUGGUUGUUUCAUAUAUACCUCUUCCUACAAAUACUUAUUCAAGAAAGCACUCUUGACAUCCAUUUGAAAUAGCUUGAACUCCAUGUAGGGAACAAAGGCAAUAAGGAUCCUGAUUGCUUCUAUUCUUGAAAUAGGGGCAAAGGUCUCAUUAUAAUCGAUGCCUUCCUCUUGAUUGUAUCCUUGAACUACCAAUUUAGCCUUGUUUCUGACAACAGUCCCAUGCUCAUCCUUUUUGUUCCUGUCGACCAUCUUGGUCCCUAUGACAGUUCUGUCUGCAGGUUUAGGAACCAGGUGCCACACUUUACUUCUGUGAAACUGAUUUAGUUCUUCUUGCAUAGCAAUCAACCAAUCAGCAUCCUUCAGUGCUUCUUUGACAUUUUUGGGUACAAUGGUGGAAAUAAAAGCUAAAAAGGUAGCUUGAUUUCUUACAUUAGAUCUGGUUUGCAUUCUAGAGUCCAAAGGUGAUGUGAGAUUAUCCAUAGGACAAGAUUAUCCAUACGAUGAGAGGACUUGUAUUUCCAGUUAGAUAGGAUUUGUGCUUCAGUUAGAUCAUUUGAUACUUGAAUCCGACUGAUUGGGGCCAGGUUCCUCACUUACCAGCUGAUGAUAGGCGAAAUUACGCGCCUAUAUCAAUAUAUUUUGCCCAUAUUUUAGCCUAGUUUCGAGAACUAAUUAUCUAUUUCGUACACUUUUAGUCCUUUUUCCUGUAAAUGAGCUAACAAAUGUGAUUAGGAAAGUUUCAGGUAUAAAUGAUGCAAAAUACAGCAAUUUAUGGCUUACUUGACGCAAAAGAAAGCUCACAAACGAGAUGGAAAGGAGCUGGACGCAUAAAGGACUAAAUCUGCUGCAUGGAAAAUCUGUCCCGGGCUAAAACAGCAUUUCUGAAGACUUUGGGACUUACAGACACAAAGCUGGAUUUUUGCCAUAAUACAUUAACCUAGUGCAAUUAGGUUAUGUGUUUCAUCAUUCUAUUUGGAUUAUAAUUUUGUAACCUUACCCUAGUACAAUUGGGUCAAGGAUUUCAUUAGUAUAUUAGGAUUUGGUUAUUUAUUUUAUUAGUUGAGUAGGAGUAGGAUAGGAGUAUUAUAAAUACCCUAUCAUGUUAGAGAUUUUAAAGAGGAGGGGGAGACAUUCUAACAAUUCAUCAUCUCCCUACAAUUAAGACAUCUUCCUACAACCCAUUCUCAAUUCUUCAUUCUUCUACUCUUAAAUUCCACAACAAGAGAAUCGUUACUUGCUACGGAAUCACUAAAACCACACGCCAAACACCUACUAUUCACACCAUCCACCAUGCAAAGCGUGAUAUCCUUCGCAUUCAUGGGUAACUAAAUCUCUUAGUUGGGGUUAUGGAAGCCGAAUGAGUUACUAUCUAUAGCUAUGAGUUUGUGAGUUCAAGACAAGUAUAUUGCUUAUAUCAUUAUUCUCUUCAUCUUAAAUCUACAUUCUUUGCGGUUCAAACACAAGAACACGCCAUUCUAACAUCUAACCUGUUCGAGAGAAAGGUUAUUUGUCUAGAAAAGAAGACGCAUAGACCAACGCCAGUCUAACAUCUGACUUGUUCGAGAGAAAAGUUAUUUGUCUGGAAAAGAGAUAAUGUCAAGGUAGUAGGACACCCUUUCCUAUUAAAAAGCUAGUGCCGUACCUGGACUAACUUCUUGGAGAAUUCGUACCGUUAGUCACGCUUUAAGCUCGAGAGAGUUAAAGUGAAAUAGUCCUUGUUUAGGUCGAGAGACGCUUGGAUUUACCAUCGACUACAAUUCUCUAUAAGCAAUUACAUGUCAAGACUCUACACACUCAUAGCCAAUAGAGACGUAUACCUCAGAAGGUGGACAUAACCCCAACGCCUCAAUUCUCAUUGUUUACAACACACGUGACAAUCUCUCUUUAUUUUGCUAUUUUCAGUUCUUACAUUCUUGUUUUGGUUACAUACUACAAUCCCCCCUUUCCUACGAGACUUGCACUAAAAGUCUAGUAAUUUCUCUUGCUUGUUGGCCAAGCUAUUCUCUGUGGGAUCGAUACCCAACCCAGGUUGGGUUCUAUAUUUGCUAACGACCGCUUUACACUCCCACGAGAGCUGUAGAUUGAGCGUUAUCAAAAAUUGGCGCCGUUGCCGGGGAAUACGAGUGUCAAUCAAGUUCGUGAAAAUUACUAGACCCUUUGGUCAAAGAUUCUCGUACUUUUACGUUUAGUUUUUGUUUUUGUUUAUUGCAGGUUUUUCUUUUAGUGCAUGCCCCAUACUAGAAGUUCUGGUCAACCGUUAUUACCAAUCAAUCCGGAACCACAACGAAUCAGAAGAAUGGAAGCACAAGCGGAAAUCGACAGGAUGGCUGCUCAACAUGAGCAAGCAAGAUUAGCUGCUCUUGCCGCUGCUCAAGUCCAACAACAAAACAUUGAUAAUCCUGGACGAGCAACAAAUCCUGACGAUGAAGAUUUAGGAGAUGACGAGUUGAUCAACCCAAGGCAUGGCGCUGAAAUGGCAACACCUACCAACAGACGAGGUCGACAAGCUCGGUACAGAUAUGAUCGCCAACCUUUGCAACCAGCUUUCGACGAUGAUGAUGAUGAUCUUGAUGGUGCCGGAGCCACUGGAGCUAUAAUUCCACCACCAUUAGCGCCCGGAGCCAAGUUCAACAUCACUAGCACCAUGAUUCAGUUAUUGCAACUCAAGGGAUUAUUUGGUGGACUAGCAGGCGAUGAUCCGAAUAUGCAUCUCAUCAACUUUAUUUCUACAUGCAAGUCUUUUGACAAUCCUGGAGUUGGUCAGAAUGCUAUUCGAUUACGUCUAUUUCCAUUGUCUCUGUCUGGGGAGGCAACAUUAUGGUUGAAUGGGCUGACUCCUGAUUCUAUUACAAAUUGGAGGCAAUUGAGAGACGCUUUCCUAGAAAGAUUCUUUCCGCCAUCCAAGAGGGCUCAAUUGAGAGAUGAAAUCAGCAACUUUCGUCAGCUUCCCUCUGAAGCUCUUCACGAAACAUGGGAGAGGUUCAAGACAAAGCUAGCGAGAUGCCCAAACCAUCACAUGACUAAUGUUCACCUCAUGGAGAUCUUAUAUAGAGCCUUGAAUUCAGUAACUAAACCAGUGGUGGACAACGCAGCUGGAGGUUCUUUUAUGGACCUCACCUUUGGUCAAGCAAGCAACAUGCUAGAUCGUAUGACGAAACAAAGUAGAGCUUGGCAUACCAGGGAUUCUGAGGUAGCAAGCCCCACUUUAUCUAUUGGCAUGUCUGCAGAUCAAAGAAGGAGAGAAGAAGAACGUGAUCAAGAUAUGGCGCACAUGAAAACCCAAAUGGAUCUUCUUACAAAGCAUCUAUUAGGGAAGACUGAAAAAGUGAAAUCUAUUGCGUCAAAAGGAAGAGACGAAUCUGAUUCAGAAGAGGAGGCCAACUACUUGAACAAUCAGGGGGGUUUCCGUGGGAAUGCCCAAGGAAACCAAGGUCGGAACUAUUAUGACAAAUCUGGAGGUAAAGACCAAGGUAGUUGGAAGAAAAAUAAUGAAAACAGUGGUUUGUACGUUCCCCCUGGUAGACGUGAUACCACCACAUCUAAUUCUAUGGAAGACAUGAUGGCUAAGUUAUUGAAAGGAGUGGAAGCGACGAAUGCGGGAGUUAAGGAGGUGAUUGACGAUUUGGCCUCCAUGAAGCAAUUAGUUGAUUCUCAUUCCACUUCUAUCAAGCAACUAGAGCAGCAAUUCAGUCAACUUUCAGCAACACUCAACCAAAGAAAAGCCGGCACCUUGCCUAGCGAUACGGUGCAAAAUCCAAGGACUGAUGGGUCAUGCAUGGCCAUCACUACGAGGAGUGGUAAGGUGCUGGAAACUUCAGCAGAAGGCAAGCAAAUAGUUGACAGAACAGCAGACACAACCGCCACACCUAGUGACGCCACUAGGGAAGACGCCGCAAUAUCCACUUCCAACGUCAAGGACGUGUUGCCUAGUGACGUGCAGCCUGAAAAAAGUAAUAAACGGAAGCAAGAGGAGAAGAAAGCCAUGGAAAGAACACUUCCAUACCCACCACCACCUUUUCCACAAAGACUGAAGAAGGCGGCCGAUGACACUAAGUUCAGCAAGUUCAUGACCAUCUUGAAGCAGCUGACUAUUAAUGUCCCAUUGGUAGAGGCACUUGAACAAAUGCCUGGGUAUGCGAAGUUUAUGAAAGAUCUUUUGACUAAGAAGAGGGCAGCAAGCUAUGAGCUGAAAGAAGAUGUGCAUCAUUGUAGUGCAAUAGCUACCCGAUCCAUAGUUCAGAAGAAGGCCGACCCCGGAGCUUUCACUAUUCCUUGCACCGUCGGAUCUUUGGACUUUGCUAAAGCAUUAUGUGACUUAGGAGCCAGCAUCAACUUGAUGCCAUUAUCAAUCUACAAGAAGUUGGGGUUGGGAGAUCCUACACCAACUAAUAUGAAGCUUGUUAUGGCGGAUAGGUCGGUAAAACGACCGGUUGGUAUUCUAUGCGAUGUCUUGGUGAAGGUAUCUUCAUUCAUAUUUCCAGCAGACUUUGUCAUCUUGGAUUGCGAAGCAGAUUCAGAGGUUCCCAUAAUCUUGGGACGCCCUUUCCUUGCUACGGGAAGUGUGCUCAUAGAUUUGAGAGCUAAUGAACUUUCAUUCCGAAUAAAUGAUGAAGUGGUGCGCUUUGAUGUUUGCAAAUCAAUGAAGCAACCCAAAGAUCUAAGUGUAUUUUCUGUGACUGAUGUUGUCGUUGAUGACGAGGAUGAGUUACUUGCUGAAGAACAAAUUCUUGAUGAUCCUUUGGAGGUUUUGCUCAUGGAAGAAGAUGAUGAUGAUGCUGAAAUUUCUGAAGAUGAUAUUUGUGCUCUAUCGGGAUUAGGAGCAUAUCGCUAUCCUCCUAAGAAGCUGGAUAUUGAUCUCAAGAAUCGACCCACACCACCAGCUAAGCCAUCUAUUGAAGAACCACCCACAUUAGAAUUAAAGGAGCUGCCAAGCCAUUUGAAGUAUGCAUUCUUAGGAAGCGGAAACACUCUUCCAGUCAUAGUGGCAGCCGAUUUAGGUGAGCAACAAGUUGCAGCUCUUAUUGCAAUUUUACGCAAGUAUAUUAGAGCUAUUGGAUGGACCAUUGCGGAUAUCCUUGGUAUUCCACCUGGAAUUUGCACUCAUAAAAUUCAGCUCCAAGAAAAGUGCACACCCACCAUCGAACACCAAAGACGUCUAAACCCACCAAUGCAAGAGGUGGUGAAGAAGGAGAUUAUCAAGUGGUUAGACGCAGGAGUUGUGUAUCCUAUUUCUGAUAGUACAUGGGUAAGCCCAGUACAAUGUGUUCCCAAGAAAGGAGGUAUGACGGUGGUUGCGAAUGCAAAGAAUGAGCUUAUUCCACUCAGGCCCGUCACUGGAUGGAGAGUAUGCAUGGACUACCGCAAGCUGAAUUCUUGGACUCUCAAGGAUCACUUCCCCAUGCCAUUUAUGGACCAAAUGCUAGAUCGAUUAGCGGGAAAAGGAUGGUUUUGCUUUCUUGAUGGUUAUUCAGGUUAUAAUCAGAUUUUUAUUGCACCAGAAGACCAAGAGAAGACAACGUUUACAUGCCCAUAUGGUACGUUUGCCUUCAAACGUAUGCCAUUCGGGUUAUGUAAUGCACCAGCCACCUUUCAGCGAUGUAUGAUGUCUAUUUUCUCUGAUAUGGUAGAAGACACUUUGGAGGUAUUUAUGGACGACUUUUCAGUUGUUGGGGAGUCUUUCGAAGCAUGUUUGGUGAAUUUAAGCAUGGCAUUACAAAGAUGUGUAGAGUUCAACCUUGUGCUGAAUUGGGAGAAGUGCCACUUCAUGGUAAAAGAAGGAAUUGUUCUUGGGCACAAGAUCUCCGAAAAAGGAAUAGAGGUUGAUCGCGCCAAAAUAGAGGUAAUUGAGAAGCUACCACCUCCAAUUUCGGUGAAGGGAGUUCGUAGUUUUCUUGGCCAUGCUGGGUUUUAUCGUAGAUUCAUCAAAGACUUCUCCAAAAUUUCUAGUCCAUUAUGCAAGCUAUUGGAGAAAGAUGCGAAGUUUGACUUUAAUGAUGAUUGCUUAAAGGCAUUUGAAUGCCUUAAAGAAAAACUCGUUGAAGCCCCUAUCAUGGUAACACCAGAUUGGACGCUCCCGUUCGAAGUCAUGUGUGAUGCUAGUGGUGUAGCCGUUGGUGCUGUUCUUGGACAGAGAAAGGAGAAAUUAUUUCAUCCUAUCUACUAUGCGAGUAAGGUCCUCAAUGAAGCCCAAAGGAACUACACCGUCACUGAACAAGAGCUAUUAGCGGUUGUGUAUGCGUUUGAGAAGUUCCGCGCCUACCUAUUAGGUACUAAAGUGAUCGUUCAUACAGACCAUGCAGCUCUUAGGUAUCUAAUGACAAAGAAGGAUGCAAAACCAAGGCUGAUUCGAUGGGUGUUGCUGCUGCAAGAGUUUGAUUUCGAAGUCAAAGAUAGAAGAGGUUGCGAGAACCAAGUGGCUGAUCACCUAUCUAGACUUGAGAAUGAGUAUGUGGCGCAAUCAGAAAAUCAGAUUGGCGAUGCAUUCCCUGACGAGGAGAUAUUAGCGACAACAAUAGAAGACUUACCAUGGUAUGCCGACUUUGCGAAUUUCGUGGUGAGUAAUGUGUUACCUACAAAUUUAUCUUACCACCAGAGGAGGAAGUUUAUGCAUGACGUUCAGCACUAUUAUUGGGAUGAGCCUUAUUUGUUUCGAAGAUGUGCGGAUGGUAUCAUUCGACGAUGUAUAUCCCAUGACGAAGUGCCCACUAUAUUAGAAGCAUGCCACACUUCGCAAGUUGGAGGACAUCAUGCGGGUAAUCGAACAGCAAGAAAAGUCUUGCAAAGUGGUUAUUAUUGGCCUACAAUAUUCAGAGAUGCACACGACUAUGUGAGAAGGUGUGACCAAUGCCAACGUCAAGGUGUUAUUUCAAAACACCAUGAAAUGCCCAUGUCCACAAUCCUGGAGGUAGAACUCUUUGAUGUAUGGGGUAUUGAUUUCAUGGGACCAUUCGUAAAUUCGUUUGGAAUGAAGUACAUCUUGGUUGCUGUGGAUUAUGUGUCGAAAUGGGUUGAAGCUGUAGCAUUGGCCGAUAAUGAAGGAAAGCGUGUUGUAGCGUUUUUAAAGAAGAAUAUCUUCUCUCGCUUUGGGGUACCUCGUACUAUCAUAAGUGAUGGAGGAUCUCACUUCUGCAACAAGCUAUUCAAAUCUGUAUUGGCCAAGUAUGGAGUCAAGCAACACAAGGUAGCUACGCCUUAUCAUCCCCAAACUAGUGGACAAGUAGAGGUUUCCAAUCGGGAGAUCAAGCAAAUCCUUGCCAAGACGGUCAAUGCGAAUCGGAAGGAUUGGUCUCGGAAGCUAGAUGAUGCACUAUGGGCGUAUAGGACUGCAUUCAAGACACCCAUUGGCAUGUCACCUUAUCAGCUAGUUUAUGGGAAGGCUUGUCAUCUACCCAUCGAGCUUGAAUACAAGGCAUUAUGGGCAUUGAAGCACUUGAAUCUGAAUUGGGAUGAUGUGAAGAACCUGAGGUUGGAGCAGCUGAACGAGCUAGAUGAAUUCCGUCUCCAUGCUUAUGAAAGAUCAGAUUUAUACAAGGAGCGGAUGAAGAAGUAUCACGAUCAGCGGAUUGUUCGACGACACUUCCAAAAAGGUGACAUGGUGCUACUCUUUAACUCCAGAUUCAAGCUCUUCCCAGGUAAGUUAAAAUCAAAGUGGUCUGGUCCAUUUAAAGUCACCCACGUCUACUCGUUUGGAGUAGUCGAAUUGGAAAAUAAUGAGGGUGUUAUCUUCAAGGUGAAUGGCCAACGUGUUAAGCCAUAUAUCGGUCCUCUUGACUCGAUAAAUGACAUGGCCAUCACUUAUCUCGACGAAGUCUAAGUACUCGAGAUUACUACGUCGAGCCACGACAAUAAAUAAGGCGCUAGAUGGGAGGCAACCCUUCGUUUUAUUGUUUUAUCGUUUUGUCGUUUUAGUAUUUUUUCUUUUUGAUAAAUGAAAAUCCAAAAAUAAGAGUCGUGCCACGACCAAAACUAAGGCGCUUGGUGGGAGGCAACCCAUCGUACUAAUCGUUUUCAUUUGUUUGAGCAAAUAUAGGUGUAAGAAGUAUGCAACGAGGAGAUUGAUUUCAAUUGACGAUUUGGUCGCGUCGUAUGGUAAAGGCGGUAAGUUAGGAAUGGUGAUGCAUAAGGCUAUGAAUUGAGCCUUUCUCACGUCAUAAUAGGCUUCGAGGAAGGCUAGGCCUUGGUAAAAAUAGGCCACGAACGAUGCACAACCUAUUCUAUAGCCUAAGGACUCGGAAUCUAGUGUGCUAUACCCUAUGCGCCGCCUAUUCCUAGGUGUGCUUUUGACUAUGCGCCGCCUAUGUCCCAUUAUGCCAUGGACAAUGCGCCGCAUAUACAUGUGAUAUGCCGAGGGAUAUGCGCCGCAUAUAGGGUGAUUUUGUCCCCAAAUCCGAUUGUAAAUGGGUCAUAACCCGACCCAUACUCCUCCUAUAUAAAGGGGACUUGUUUUUAUUUCACAAACACAUUAGAAUCAACCCUAAAGGCGCCGCAUAUCAUCCCAAAUCCUCUCAAAUUUUUCUUCCUUUGUUCUUCCAAUCCACAACAACUUCUCCACAAUCUUCAAGCAAGUAAGUGCUCUCUUAUUCUUCAUCUAUUUAUCAUGAGUACUACUUUACUAUGCUUAUUAUUAAAUGCUAAAUCACGUGAGAUUAGUGGUGAUGUUCAUGUGCUUGGAUAAUUGUUGCAAAAAUCGUAUGAUUGAAUGAAUACGAAUGCAAUUCUUGACUUGUUUCCGACUUGAAUUUUGUUUCAAUGGCAUUGUUAUGAUACUUGCUGAACAUAUAUGGCUAUGAAUAUUGCUUGAAAGUGUUGUUUGGAUGCUUGCAUGAUUCACCACCCCGGCCAUCGGGAUACGGUUAUAGUGACUAUCCACGUAGGAGGUAGUGUUGGUUGUUCGAAUAGCAAUUCCAUGUGGUAACUCCUAUGUUAUAGUAUCGCUAUAUGCACCAUGAAAGACGUCCAAAUGGCUGUUCAUAAGUGAUGUCAUGCUGAUUUUCUUGUCGGAAUACAAUCCGAGGACGUAUGUCGACGAAGUCUGAGUACUCGACCACUUUCACUUCACUGAUUUUUGCUAACAAGAUUAAGUGUGGGGUGGUACCCCUAAUGCUUGCAUAUAGAAUUGUCUAAAGUGCGAUUGUGCCGCAUCUAACAUUAUUUCUAGUCUCAGGUACAAUGGCACCGAAAGCAAGGCAAGGCAAGGAGAAGGCUACCACAACCCGCAAGGACAAAAAGAGAAGCCGAAAAGACCAAGGCGAAUCAUCUUCCGCACACCUACCACGCAGAAUGUUCGGAAUCAAAUGGGUUCUUGAGGAAGAAGCCAAGGCAUGGUACAGCAGCAACAAAGAAAAGAAAUAUGUGCACGUCGACUUAAUCAAUAAGGAGACCUUAGCAAAGAAGGAGCCGCAAAUGUUGGCUAAGAUUAUGGCUUUGAAGCUGGAUUUCAUCUUCCGUGACAUGGGAGAGUGCAAUCUUGACUUGACAAGAGAGUUUUAUGCCAACUGGUCGCCAAACACAACAGGCAACGAAGUCAAAAUUCGGGGCCAAGUGUUACAGCUUACAGCGGAUUGGAUCAACUCGUUUCUAGGCCUACCUUCGGUCGACACUGCACCAUACAAAGAGCUGUACAGCAGACCUCCUUACAGAGCUAUAAGACACACGCUUUGUGGAAGCAGAUCGAUGGCGAGAUGGGGCAGACAUAAGGAAACAGGCCGUCACAACACAUUCCCCUAUGCUCCACUAAAUAGGGAAGCAAGAAUCUGGAUGCGCAUUGUCAACUCAUGCCUCAUUCCUGGGACGCAAUACACAAAGAUAUCGAGAGAUAGAGUGUGCCUGGUUUAUUCAUUAAUGACGAAUGUCCCUAUCAACUUUGGGGCAAUCAUUCGAUCCACCAUGAGGAAAGCCAGACUCCACAGCAGGUCCUAUUUCACAUUCGGCAAUUUGUUGACAGCAAUGUUGCGGAAGGAGGAUAUAGAAGAGGAACCAGCUGACCACAAACUCCCACAUACCCCAAAGAAGGUUGACCUCACCAAGGUCAAAGAUGCUGAAACAACGCAUGGAGUCAACCUUACCACUGCGGAGAGACAUGCUCGUGACGAGAGUUUCUUCCGUCAUCUCUAUGGCAUGACGAGAUUCACUAUGAUGAGUGGUGGACGUAUUCCAACUGCUGAAGAGCUCCAACAGCUGGACCACGACUACCCAAUGAACAGACAUGCCCGGGAGAUGUGUGGAGUGGGAGUAUAUUUCGAGGAACCUCUUGAUGAUGACGUGCCAACUGAUGAUGAUAGACGCUUGCCUGAUUCUGAUGCUGAGGAGAACUCUGACGAUGACUCUUACGAUGACUCGAACGAAGGGGGUAUGACAUUGAGGAAGAGUCCGACUAAUCAGGUUCUUCGACUUUAUUUUCCACUGAGGGCAGUGUCUAGUCUAAGUGUGGGGUGUCGGCAGAAUCUGCAUGCUAUAUUUGUAUGUUUGCUUGUUUAUUUUGUUUUAUUUAUUUUGUUUUGAGUCCGAUUUUUUUUGUGAUUUUUUUCGUGUGACGUUUUUUUUUAGUUUUUAGUAGUUAAAAUUUUUCUAGCCUCGCAUGAAAUUAUUUUAAUAGGCAGCAUGAGAUUAUAACAAUAGUAUGUAUUACAAUUGUGACUAUUGAGACAUUUAGGCUCUAGUUGUGACUCAUUAUGUGAUAGUGUGUGAUUCAAUUCCUUCACUUGUUGGGUUGAGAGUCUAUAUUGCUACCAAUCAAGUCGACCAUGUGCCUUGUGUGUGUGAGAUAAUAGUAUAUUCUAUGUAUGUGGCUGAUGCUAGAACUUGCCUGGUAUGUAUGCAAAGCGAAAAUAAGGAGUGUAAGUUUAGGAUAUGAUUUAGGCAUUUCUUUGGCAACCUAUAUUUGUUUACCUUCAGUUUUACCUACCCAUGGACAUCAUCCUAGUUAAACCCUUUUGAGCCUUUAGCCUAUUUCUUUGACAACCUUGUAUGUAAGCCUAAUUCAUUUUUUUUCAAGACCGUAAUUUGAUCCAAAUUCCUAAGUGCUUUAAAGUAAAAAAGUCAUGUGACAACAUAAGAGGAAAUUGGUUGAGUAUGAUGCUUUAAAUUGUAAUGGUGCUUGAAUAUGUUAUGAAAAAGAAAGUGCUAUCAUAAGAGGUAUGUUGUGAGAAGAAAAAGGAAAAGAAAGCUGAAAAGUGAGUUGUGCUUUAAAAUUGAAAAACAAAAGAGGAGAACAAGGGUGCUACAAAAAAAGUGUCAAUAAUACAAUGUGAUGUAUUAAAGUGCUUAGGAACUUAGUCACUAUUUCUGGCCAAAAUAGUUGAUCCUACCCGUCCCUUAGCCUACAUUACAACCAUCAAAAGACCUACUUGAUCCUAACCUUAACAUUCCGACAUUUAGUGGAGUACUACAUUAAGGGCAAGCCUAUGGUCAUUAGCUGCUACAUAUGAAUUCUUUGUGAGAGUGAGCGCAAGGAUACUUUGCUGCCCAUGUUUGAAAAAUAUGCUAUACUUGUGAGUGAUUAUGGGUACUAUAUUGUGAGACACACAUGGUUGAUGAGUUUUGGAUAGUUGUAUAUGAUUCUAUGUACCUUAAACGUUUGCAUGCGAGUUGAUCACCAUCACGAGUCUAUGCUUGAGGUUAAAUUGUUUCUACUUAUAAUCGGAAAGCUACUCUUCGUUGAUAAUUGUUGUGCUUGUCUUGAAGAAUGUUUUGUGUUGUUUCUGUAAAAACCUUAAGUCAAUGCUUAGAAGGACAUGAUAUGUUGUUCGAGGACGAACAAAGCUCUAAGUGUGGGGUGUUGAUGAUAGGCGAAAUUACGCGCCUAUAUCAAUAUAUUUUGCCCAUAUUUUAGCCUAGUUUCGAGAACUAAUUAUCUAUUUCGUACACUUUUAGUCCUUUUUCCUGUAAAUGAGCUAACAAAUGUGAUUAGGAAAGUUUCAGGUAUAAAUGAUGCAAAAUACAGCAAUUUAUGGCUUACUUGACGCAAAAGAAAGCUCACAAACGAGAUGGAAAGGAGCUGGACGCAUAAAGGACUAAAUCUGCUGCAUGGAAAAUCUGUCCCGGGCUAAAACAGCAUUUCUGAAGACUUUGGGACUUACAGACACAAAGCUGGAUUUUUGCCAUAAUACAUUAACCUAGUGCAAUUAGGUUAUGUGUUUCAUCAUUCUAUUUGGAUUAUAAUUUUGUAACCUUACCCUAGUACAAUUGGGUCAAGGAUUUCAUUAGUAUAUUAGGAUUUGGUUAUUUAUUUUAUUAGUUUAGUAGGAGUAGGAUAGGAGUAUUAUAAAUACCCUAUCAUGUUAGAGAUUUUCAAGAAGGGAGACAUUCUGACAAUUCAUUCAUCUCCUUACAAUUAAGACAUCUUCCUACAACCCAUUCUCAAUUCUUCAUUCUUCUACUCUUAAAUUCCACAACAAGAGAAUCGUUACUUGCUACGGAAUCACUAAAACCACACGCCAAACACCUACUAUUCACGCCAUCCACCAUGCAAAACGUGAUAUCCUUCGCAUUCAUGGGUAACUAAAUCUCUUAGUUGGGGUUAUGGAAGCCGAAUGAGUUACUAUCUAUAGCUAUGAGUUUGUGAGUUCAAGACAAGUAUAUUGCUUAUAUCAUUAUUCUCUUCAUCUUAAAUCUACAUUCUUUGCGGUUCAAACACAAGAACACGCCAUUCUAACAUCUAACCUGUUCGAGAGAAAGGUUAUUUGUCUAGAAAAGAAGACGCAUAGACCAACGCCAGUCUAACAUCUGACUUGUUCGAGAGAAAAGUUAUUUGUCUGGAAAAGAGAUAAUGUCAAGGUAGUAGGACACCCUUUCCUAUUAAAAAGCUAGUGCCGUACCUGGACUAACUUCUUGGAGAAUUCGUACCGUUAGUCACGCUUUAAGCUCGAGAGAGUUAAAGUGAAAUAGUCCUUGUUUAGGUCGAGAGACGCUUGGAUUUACCAUCGACUACAAUUCUCUAUAAGCAAUUACAUGUCAAGACUCUACACACUCAUAGCCAAUAGAGACGUAUACCUCAGAAGGUGGACAUAACCCCAACGCCUCAAUUCUCAUUGUUUACAACACACGUGACAAUCUCUCUUUAUUUUGCUAUUUUCAGUUCUUACAUUCUUGUUUUGGUUACAUACUACAAUCCCCCCUUUCCUACGAGACUUGCACUAAAAGUCUAGUAAUUUCUCUUGCUUGUUGGCCAAGCUAUUCUCUGUGGGAUCGAUACCCAACCCAGGUUGGGUUCUAUAUUUGCUAACGACCGCUUUACACUCCCACGAGAGCUGUAGAUUGAGCGUUAUCACCAGCUCAUUAGGGUGCUGAGAGAGUGAGCCUGUAUUGUCAUGAUCAGUAUUUGAAGGAUUUGGUCCCUUAUUAGAUUUGGUAUCUUCAUCUCCAUGAUUUCAACUGUUUUGAUGUUUAUAGGUUUCUUCAUUUCUCUAAUCUCUAUUUCCUUCAACAUUUAAGGAGUCUCUUUGAAUCUGAAGAAGCUCUCUUUAAUUCUAUAUCAUCCUUGUACCUUAAAUCCUUCAUGCUUCCUAAUUUAUUAAAGAUAACAUGAACACUUUCUUCUACCAUACAAGGUCCUUUUGUUAAAGAUCCAGUAUACUUUGCGGGUUGAUAAAUACCCAACACACUCCCUCAUCAAUUUUGGAAUCAAACUUCCCAAGAUCAUUUUUGCCAUUGUUUAAGACGAAGCACUUACAUCUAAUAGCCCUCAGUACCCAAGCUUGGGUGUUUUGUUAUUUAGCAAUUCAUAGGGAGCAUUCUUUAACAUGGACCUGAUUAGGCAUUUGUUAGUUACAUAAAAAUCAGUGUUGACUGCUUCAGCCCAAAAUUUUUUAGAAAGGCUAGAAUGCAUCAGCAUUGUUCUAGUAAUAUCAACUAGUAUCUUAUUUUUUCUUUUCGCAACUCCAUUUUGCUGGGGAGUUCGAGGUGCUGAAAAUUUGUGACUGAUUCCGUGCUUUCCAAAAACUGAUCUUUCUUGAUAUUUUCAAACUCAGUCCCAUGAUCUAAUCUUAUCUCAGCAACCUUGGAGUUAUACUUGACUUGAAUCUUCUUGAGAAGAGUGAUGAAUGAUUCAAAAGUUUCAUCCUUGAACCUUAGGAAUAUUGUCCAAGUGAAUCUUGAGAAAUCUACAAUUAUAAGAAUAUACCUGUUUCCUCCUCUACUUUGGACCUUAACAGGUCCACAUAAAUCCAUGUGCAGCAGUUCUAGAGGUUUAGAAGUUCUGAUAUGCUUUUUAUGUUUGAAUGAGGACCUUGUCUUCAUUCCUCUGGCACAAGCAUCACAAACUUUAUCUUCUACAAAUUUGACAUUGGGAAUUUCAUGGACCAAGACCCUAGCAACCAGUUUGUUUAGCAAUGAUGAACUCACAUGUCCCAGAUUUCAGUAAUAUUACUUAGAGCACUAAGACAUGUAAACUCAUCACCUGAAACUGAGCUAAGAUCGCCUACAUUUAUUUUUUUGCACCUCUUUACUCUCAGAUUCACUUCACCUGAGCUGAGACUAGUCACAGAGCACCCAUCUGACAUAAACUUUACUACAUUUCUUUGUCACGGAUUUGUGACACACUCAAGAGGCUGUAUUUUAAUCCAUUGACAAAAUAUACAUUUUUAAUAACAUGAUUUAGUGAUCUUCCAAUUUUUCCAACUCUUUCAAUAUUUUCUUUUUUCCCAUUUUCAAAAGACACUCUUCCACCAUAAAGUGCCUUGAGUGAGAUAACGUCUUCUAUUCUGCCAGUCAUGUGCUUAGAGCAUCCACUAUUCAAAAACCAGCAUUGGCCGUUUCCUAUUCCUCUCACCUGCAUUAGCAAUCACUUGUUAGAAUUGGGAAGCCAUUUGAGUCUGAGUUCCCAAUAUAAAGACAAAGGAGUGAUUAAAGACCUUCUGGUCCAAGGAGGCAAUCUUGAAUAACUGUUUUCUACAUAAGCACCUGGUCCCUAGUGCCUUAGACCAAAUUUCCUAUCAGACUUGUUCUUCUCCCGAAAGCUUUACUCAGCCUUCUUUCUAAACUCACAGUCCCUCUUUAAAUGUCCAUUUCUACCACAGUGGGUGCACAACAGAUUGUCAGAUACAAAGACAUACUUGCCAUGGGGGUUAUAAGGGGUGUUGAUAUCUUUUCAACCUAGAAUUUGCACUUCAUUUGAUCUUUGAUUUUUCAGACUGGACAAUAGCUUGGAAGAGGCAGUCCAUUUAAGUGAUUUAUGGAAGUCUUCUUUGACUCGGAUCAAGUCCCUUUCUAGCAGGGAGUUUCUACUUAGGGAGGCUGGAAGAAGUUUUCAGAAUUUUCCAACCUCUUCUCAAGAUCUAACUGAAAACUAUUGGCUUCCUCUUUUCCUUUAGAAUGAUCUACAUAGAAACUCAACAUCUUUUCUUUGAGGACAUCAUUUUCUUUUGACAACAUAGUUAAUUUUUCUCCUAAUUCAGACACAGUAAAAGACAUUUUUUUCAUUUUCAACACUUUAAGGAUUUCACUCUAGAGAUCUUUCUCAUUAAUAAGCUCAACCAAAGAGUCUAUCAAGGCACUUGUUAAACCCUUGAGCCUUUUUAUAGAAUAAUUAUUAAGAUUUUAUUUGAUAUCAAAAAGAGUUACCUCUUCAUCAUCAAACUUGGCCAUGAAUGUAAAGAGUGAAUCAAAGGCAUCAUCUGAAUCUUCAAUCACCAUCAUUGAAAUGUCUUCAGGGAGUGGAGAAUCAUGAAAGUCACUAGAUGAGUCUCCCAGGCUGCUAGGGCUUGUUUCACAACAUAGUCAGCAGUGACUUUGUCUGGAACUCGAUCCUUCUUCUUGCCUUUAUCUGGUACACAUUUUCCAUAUUCCUUGUGUUAUGCCUUAUGCAUUGGGCAAUCCCCGAUAAAAUGGCCAGCUUUUCCACACUUAUAACACAAGUUAUUUCAUGUAGUUGAUCUACUAGAGUUCCCUCUUCUUUGAAAUCCUCCAUUUUUCCUCAUAACCUUGAGAAAUCUCUUGGUUAUGUAUGCUACAUCUUUAUUCUCUUCACAUUCUUCACUUUUGGCUACUUCGAGAGCCAAAGUCUUCUUUUUCUUGGGUUCUUUCUUAUCCUACUCCUUUUGCUUUUUCAUUUCAUAGGUUUUCAGGUUUCUAUGAGCUCAUCCAUCAUAAGAGUUUUCAGAUCUCAUAAGAGUUUUUAGAUCCCUUACUUCAGUAAUAGCAUUGACCUUACUCUCCCAUGACUUGGGAAGAAUACUAAGCACUUUUCUUACUUGCUUGGUAGGCCUGAUGUCCUCACCUAGAUUGUGCAGCUCAUUCAUGAUGGAUGUAAAUUUUGUAUACAUUUUCUGAAUAGUUUCUUUCACCUAGAUUGUGCAGCUCAUUUAUGAUGGAUGUAAAUUUUUUAUACAUUUUCUGAAUAGUUUCUUUCUCUUUCAUGAUGAAGGUUUCAUAUUGUGUGGUAAGCAUGCCAACCUUCGACUCUUUUUACUUGACUAGCGCCUUCAUGUGCAGUUUUCAAGCAAUGCCAAAUCUCUUUAGUAGACUCAAAAGCAGAGAUCCUGUAAUACUCAUUAGGUCUUAUACCACACACUAGCAGCUUCUUUGCCUUAUAGUUCUUUUCAAUCUUCUUACGAUCAUCUUCGUUAAACUCCUUUCAAGUUUUGGGGACUAGUCUGGUAACCUCCCUUUCUUUCACUUCUCUCAUAGGAAUAUGUGGACCAUCCAUGAUUAUAUCCAUCAGUUCACCGUCUUCCGCCAUUAUAAAGUCAUACAUUCUUGUUUUCCACCAACCAUAGUAUUGGCUAUUGAAUCUUGAGGGUUUGGUGGUGGACUGACCUUCUUUCAGAUUUAAUGAAGCAGCCAUUUUUUAGCUAGUUCCUCUCUAUGUGUUAACCUUUUAGAGAAAGCUGGCUCUAAUACCAAUUAAUAGUGUAUAUUUUGCGAAAAAAUGAUUUUUAAGUCGCCACUUAAUUUAUUUAAAAAGAAAUUAAGAAAACCUUUAUAAAUUGCUUAAAUGAUUCAAAUCGAAAAAAUCAUUUAAGUUUUGAAAUUUUAGGUAAGCGAUUCCUAUUAACAUUUUAGGAAGGUUUUUAAGGCCCCUAAAAAGUCCGGUAACUUGCAAUUAUCCGAACUAUUUGAAAAUUAUUCUUUUUACUAAAUUCUAAAACAAAAGUUGAUAUUUUGAAAAAGGAAACUGAAAACAAACUUGUUUAAAAAAUCAAUUUGACAACUUAAUAGGGAAUUUAACUAAGUCUAAACAAAUAAAAUAGCAAAUAAGCACGUAAAGGGAAAGGAAAGAAAUGGAGGACUUAGGCUAGGGUUGUGCAAAAAUCAAACCGACCAAUAAAUCGAACCGAUAAAAAUGUUAUUGGGUUAUUGGUAUUGGGUUAUCAGGUUAAUGAUUUUUUAUUGAUUUUAUAAAAAAAUUUAUUGGAUAAAUGGUUUGAUAUUGAUUUUAGGUUAUUGGGUUAUCGGUUAAACCGAUAACCCAAUAAGAAUACACUAAGUUAUUAUUUUAUCCCUAUUUAUGUUAUGUAUAUAAAUCUCUCUUUAUCUAUCUAUUUAUAUCUAUAUANNNNNNNNNNNNNNNNNNNNNNNNNNNNNNNNNNNNNNNNNNNNNNNNNNNNNNNNNNNUAUAUGUGUAUAUAGAUUAUAGAAACUACAUAUAAUCUAUAUACAUACAUAUAUACAUAAUAUAAACUACUAAUUCACAAUUCAGUGAUUCACAAAGUUAACCUAUUCAGGGCAACAAAGAUACAAUAUAAAAUUCAACUAUUAUCAUAAUGAAAAGCUUGAAACAUUUAUAGCUUCCAACAAUUAGGAUUCAAUUUUUUUCCUAACUAACAUUUAAUUCAAGUUUGAAGAUUCUUGUAAACUAAAAUGCAUUGCCUAGGUUUUGGAGGUAAUUAAGAUUUCAUUUUUUUAUGUUGUUACUAUUUCUAUUUUAUAAGUAUUUUCUUAUUGGUUAAACCGAAAAUCGAACCGUUAAGGACUAAAAACCGAUAAACCGAAACCAACAAGAAAAUAUCUUAUUGGUUAGUUAUUGGUUUUACAUAUUUAUAAAUCGAAAAUCGAUAAAUCGAACCAAUAACACGUAAAACCGAACCGAACCGACCAAUGCACACCCCUAACUUAGGCUUACAAGCCUAAAUCCAUCAUCCCUGUCCUAAUCUAAUUGGGAUGUUGGCCCACACGCACCUGUCCUAAUCUAAAUGUUGGGCCCUGACCCAUAACCUGUCCUAAACUGUCUUUUGGACCUUUUGGCCCAUAAUCGACUUCACCUGUAUUACUUUACAACUUUGGCUUCGAGGCCCAAAUGAAUAAAUAAUGAAAUAAAUAAAUAAAUAAAAGACAACAAUAAAUAAAUAAAUAAAAAUGAGACUUUCAAGUCUCUUACCCGCUUCAAAGAUGGGAUUUUAACCCAUUCUUCUUCUUUCGACUCCUUGUAUCCAUGCACUAUGUAACCGGCUUUCAAAGUCUUCUAAAGGGUGGGGCUCAAUGGCCCGUUGCGUAAUGCAAGGGAAAAGAGUCCAAUUGGACUCCCAAGCAAGUUCAUGCAAAGAAAAAAAUGAAUGAAUUAACGUAUAUUAUGACUUAGCAGCUAAUUUAUAUUGAAAAUUUUAUGAUUCGAUAAAAUAUACUCACACACAAAAGGAACGGUGAUUCAUGAAAUUGAAGAGAACAUAUACACCAAUCAAAAAAAUCCAAAUUAAUGAAAAAGCCAAGGUAAAAAUAGCAAUUUCUCAUGAUUUCGAGCAAAUGAAGUUAAACAAUAUUAUUUUAGGGCUACAUCAAAAUUCGGUAGAGUAAGGACAAGAACUAGACACCUAAAAAUAUUAGUGAAUAAGCUAGGGAGAGGGGUAAUUACAUGUGAGAGCACAGGCAAACAAAGAACACAGAGAUUUGUAACCCGAAAGAAUCUCCUAUCAUAAGAGUUACUACCUUGAACAAACAUGCAAUGGAUUAACUGCAGGUUAGUAAAACUUAAACAAAACCAUGGAUCCCAAUCACAACAAAUAAUGUUUAUACAACUAAUACAAUGGGUGAAAGGACUACAAUAUAUUGUGUUGUGAGUCAAUACAACCACAUAAGCUAAUGAUACUAAAUUACUACAAUCAACAUCAAAUUAGGGCAUUAAGAUUACAACCGACAAAACUGGCCAAGGAAGAACAAUUCGUGGUGACAAAAGGCAGAACUUGAAACAUUAAGGCGAAAAGAGUAAGUUAUGCUUUUGAUCCCAUUGAGAAAUUAAGUCUGAAAUUGAGAGCUAAUGAAUGAUAAUAAAGGAGAAACAAAGUAACAGGCAUACUCGAAUAAUCAGGAAAAGAGGGCAAAAAGAAGAAAAGAAAUCAUUUACAUGCAACAAAGAAAAAACAGAAAACUUUUGAGGUUACAAAAAUUAUCAAAAUUUAUACUAGAACGAACAAGAUUAGCAUUACGACGCCAAAAGCACGUUAACCUAACAGUUGCAAUUUAUAUCAAAACCAGGAAACUAUACAAUGUAUCCUUCACCCUCUCUUGACACUCCUUGCCAAUAGGAACUUGAGGAACAUCUUUACAUACUUACCACAAUUCGAAGACAAGCGUGAGAUAUGGCAAGGGACGGGCGAGCCACUAACAAUGUUAAACUAAGGCAAUGAAAAGGAAUUAAGACAAUAAAUAGUUAGCUACAUACUAGUGAAUCAACCUAUAGUAUACAGGUAUGAAAAGACAAUAUAUUCGUGACUAACCAAAACUAAUCUUACAGUGGCUUUGAAGGCAAACUAAACACAAAUUUCGAGAUUAGAACAUUAGUCCUACAAUAAAUAAGAAGAAAAUCAUGCAUUGAAUCUUCCUUAAACAAAGUUAACCCCGAACGAUAACCGAAUUCCAAUGACAAAACAAGUAUUGAAUCAAAACAGUGACAUAACCGUAUUAACACGAGACAGUAGAUUCAAAUCACCAAAAUCAAAAGAGUGUGGAAUCAAUAGUGGAGCAAAUAUUGUAAUAUGGAUAUUAAUCAAGCAAGACGACGAAAAACCAGUCAGUUCAAACAGAUCCUGUGGCCAUCAAAUGGCGUCUACAACGGACAAUUCCCAGCACAUAAAAGAGAGAACUAAAUUAUUAAUACUACUACCACGAAAACGAAAACGAGGCAGGAUUACGGGAAAGAAAAUGAAGUGUCGAGAAGUUUACCUCUUUUGGGGCAACAAAAGAGGACUCGAGUUGUCGUCGGAAUCUCCUCGCCACCACCGGAAAAGCUUCUACGACUCCAAAAACUCAUCGACUUUUCACGAUAAAAAUUUUACUAGAAACACGACUUUUUGCUCGAAAGUUUUUCACCUUCAAGACCUCCUUCCCUUUAACUCAAGGACGAGCUAUAUAUAUAGGGAAAUUUGGGCUCAACUUCUGAUUUCCACCUAUGCGGGACAAAGUGGAAUAGGGAUAGUUUAGAAAUUUUGAAAAAAAGGAUAAAGGGAGAGGGUGAUCGUACAAUUUUAGUACGGAUUUGAAAUUCAAAUUGGUGGAAUAUUGAUGAGUUGGUGCGAUUGUUGUUGGAAUCCACGGGUUGAAUCGGAUUGAAGUUUGUUGUUGUUCGGGUCGGAGCUGUUGCGGGGCAGCGUUGGGUCGGGUUGCCGCUGAUCGAAGCUGGAUCGGAGUCGGGUUUUCGGCAAGUUGGAUCACCCGCGCUGGGUUUGGGGUCGUCGUUGCCGGGUUAUCGGGUCGGAGCUGCUUAAAAUUGUUGUGUCGCUGAUUAUUGAGAGUUGAUACG